rnacentral:misc_RNA from 1 species
AGAAGAUGGCACAAACAGUGCCCGAUUCAGGGGGUUAUAUAGAAAAUUUGCAUCAUGCAAGGCUUUUGCUGCUAGAUUGUGUGCAGCUUUAUUACAUUCUCUUCUACUAAACAUAAAAGAAAUAUACACUGAAAGAGCAAGUACAGUGAUUAUCAUUAAUAAUCCCCUGAAUACUAAUAGAAGAAUUAGUACCCCUGCAACUUUGAAUGACUGUUUGUGAAUCUCCCUUAAUAAUCACUCUAGAGUAUCCUUUGCUGAUUGCAAGUUGCACUGCAUGCCUACUAACCAAACUUUCAAGAACAAAAGGAUCAUUCAUAUUGGUCAUUCUUUUGCACCUCCAACUCAAGAUAUGCCCCAAGCUAUCCCUAACAACAACUGCCACUACACCUUCUACUCUAUUCAAACUAACAGCAACAUCAAAAUUUAUCUUCACCACAUCUCGGGGCGGAGGAGUCCAAAUUUGAGGCUGGUUGACCUCCCUAAGAGUUGCAACCUUGGGAUCUUGCACUGUAGGAAGUUCUGAUGACGACUCAUUGCUGCAUUUAUCACUUGCUGAUAUGGAAUCCUUUGGUUUUCAAAAGUAAGGCUAUUUCUUGCCUUCCAAAUGUGCCAAAGAUAAAAAUACUAAGAGAGAAGUGAGGUCAGCUCUAUCAUCCAUACCACGAAUAGCAGAGCUCAAUUCUAACCAGCAGUUUAUGAAGGAAUUGCUGCGAAACAAAGCCAAUCUAAGUUGGAAGGGGGAGUGGAUCCACACUUCAGCUGCUCUCAGGCACAGAAAAAAUAAAUGUUCACUUGUUUCAAGGUGGCCACAGCAACUGCAUUCUGGGGCUAUGUUAGGAAACCGAGAGUGAAGAUUGUGCUUAGUAGGAAGACUUUCCUUGCAAGAUCUCCAUAGAAAAAUUAGUAACUUACAGGGAACUUGUAAUUUCCAAGAAUUUUUUCCAGAAUUCAACAUUGUUUCAUUGAGAGGAGGGUAGCAUUGGCAGCAUGGAUGUCAUGUGCUAGGUGAUACCUGGAUUUUACUUGGUAUUUCCCAUCCCUAGUGAAGUGCCAGAUUAGUUGAUCAUCCCUUUGAAUUAGAGGAAUAGGGAUGGCCAUAAUAUUCACAACUUCAUCCUCUACGAAUACUUCCCUUAAGGCAGCCCUGUUCCAACAUCCUCGUUGUCUGCCAAUUAACUGCACCACCCAAUUAAUAGCUGGAUUAGGUACCGCCUUGAGCUUUGGAAAAUUUGGGAAUGACCGAGGAAUCCAUAAGUCCUCCUUGCAAAGAAUAGACCUGCCGUCGUGGACCUGCCAUCGAGGUGAUUGAGAAUAUCCCUGCCCCCAUAGUAUACUUUUUCAUCCCCACGAAGGAUUGG